rnacentral:lncRNA from 1 species
UGUGAUUGGAGCAUCAGAUACGGAAAUACCAAUGUCUGUAGGGGAUGGAGGAUGGGUGAACACUAUAUCUUGAUUCUCAGAAAAAGGGUCAAUGCGAAUGAGAUCAGAUUUAGUCAAGUUAUGAGUACUAUCAAGAAUAGAGAAGAAAGGUAUAUGCUCAAGGAACACAACAUGACGGGACACAUAUAAUUUAUGAGUAACAGGAUCAAAACAAC